rnacentral:rRNA from 1 species
GACGAACGCUGGCGGCGUGCUUAACACAUGCAAGUCGAACGGAAAGGCCCUGCUUUUGUGGGGUGCUCGAGUGGCGAACGGGUGAGUAACACGUGAGUAACCUGCCCUUGACUUUGGGAUAACUUCAGGAAACUGGGGCUAAUACCGGAUAGGAGCUCCUGCUGCAUGGUGGGGGUUGGAAAGUUUCGGCGGUUGGGGAUGGACUCGCGGCUUAUCAGCUUGUUGGUGGGGUAGUGGCUUACCAAGGCUUUGACGGGUAGCCGGCCUGAGAGGGUGACUGGCCACAUUGGGACUGAGAUACGGCCAAGACUCCUACGGGAGGCAGCAGUGGGGAAUAUUGCACAAUGGGCGGAAGCCUGAUGCAGCAACGCCGCGUGCGGGAUGACGGCCUUCGAGUUGUAAACCGCUUUCGCCUGUGACGAAGCGUGAGUGACGGUAAUGGGUAAAGAAGCCCCGGCUAACUACGUG